AACGCACGAGACCUGCGGACCUGCGGAAGGAUCAUUAGUGAACGCCCUCACGGGCUUAUAACUAUUCCAAACCUCUGUGAACCGUGCCCUUCGGGGCUAUUUUACAAACAUGGUGUAAUGAACGUCAUAUAUCAUAACAAAACAAAACUUUUAACAACGGAUCUCU
rnacentral:misc_RNA from 1 species